GUCUAUGGCCAUACCACCCUGAACACACACAAUCUUGUCGGAUCUUAGAAGCAAGGCAGGGUUGGGCCUGGUUAGUACUUGGAUGGGAGAAAGACAGUCAGAGGGGAAAUGGAGCAGAAGGGA
rnacentral:rRNA from 2 species